rnacentral:lncRNA from 1 species
AGCCUUUAUUCACAUUUAACACAACAAAUAUACCCUGCGGUCCAAUGUGCAUACUAUCCACCCUAUCUGCCCUAAAUCAAGUAUUGAAAAUGACUAAUAUCACAUAGAAUUUAGGAUGAGCGCAGUUUUUCAUCCGCUCCACGAGGCGGCGGAAGUGCUUUCAGAGACUUCGGAUCCUCGACAACAUGAAACUGAUCAGAUGUAGAAACCUCGGAAGAACACGGCACAGUAAGGCAUGUGUUUGGACAGAAGCAGAGCUCUGGGACGUGUGGACAGACUUUGACUGUAAUGAUGGACGUCUGCUCAAGGACAGACAGAAAAAGACAUUCUCCUGCGUCCUGAGUUAGAAGAGGUCAUGGCCAGUCACCCGACAUGUUUUAAGCUGUGGUACACCAUCGACAGGGAUCCAGACGGUAAAAAUGUGUUGAUUUACAGAUGCUGUUUAGCCAAAUCACCAACCUCAGUUUAGGUGACUUACUCCAGUUCAACCAGACAUUAAUAAUCAAACAAAAGAUAACAAGCAGAAGUCAUUAACUUGAGGUGUGUGCUAGGAAGAGAGUACAGCCAAGGCUUCAUCACUGAGAACACGAAGAACCUCCUUCCUCCAUCUGCAGAUGACACACUUCCCAUGAUGCAGUUCACCUACAAACCUGUAUUUCUUGAUCCUUGUCCAGCACCUUAUUUAAUCCAUCUGAUACAAAUCAGCAGAUUUUCAGAGAGCCAAAUGAACUGAACUGUCUGUCAGAUAAGAGACAUAAAUGAGAGUUGAGCAAAUUAUUGUUAUUUACCAAAUGUUGCACUGAUGAGAUUCAGUUCUAAGCGUGGGUUUAAAUAAAAACAAUAUGUAUAUGCCCUAUCUUUUGAAGGGCAAAUAAUUUAUCAUUGGACUUUUAAUUAUUUCAGCUCAUUUUUAUGACCUGCUUGCAGUUC